AUGCUCCUCGGUUACUGGAUAGGUGUCCUGUCUGAGGUGCAGCUGGUCCAAUCUGGAUCAGGAGUGGUGACGCCAGGAGAGACCCUCCGCCUGACAUGCACAGUCUCAUUUUCUGACACUAGAGAAAGCAUAGAUAAUUAUUACUGGAGCUGGAUCCGGCAGCCUCCUGGGAAAGGUCUGGAAUGGAUGGGACAGAUAGAUCCUGAAAAUGACAGCACAGAUUACGCUCCCGUGUUCCAAAACAGAAUAAGACUCUCCACUGAUUCUUCCACAAACCAGAUCUAUCUUCAGCUGAGCUCCUUGGCAGCGGCAGAUACUGCCACAUAUUACUGUGCUAGAGAGCCACAGUGA